rnacentral:rRNA from 1 species
GGUGAACGCUGGCGGCGUGCUUUACACAUGCAAGUCGAACGGUAACAGGGUGCUUGCACCGCUGACGAGUGGCGAACGGGUGAGUAAUGCGUCGGAACGUGCCGAGUAGUGGGGGAUAACGCAGCGAAAGUUGUGCUAAUACCGCAUACGUACUGAGGUAGAAAGUGGGGGACCUUCGGGCCUCACGCUAUUCGAGCGGCCGACGUCUGAUUAGCUAGUAGGUGAGGUAAGAGCUCACCUAGGCGACGAUCGGUAGCGGGUCUGAGAGGAUGAUCCGCCACACUGGGACUGAGACACGGCCCAGACUCCUACGGGAGGCAGCAGUGGGGAAUUUUGGACAAUGGGCGCAAGCCUGAUUCAGCCAUGCCGCGUGUCUGAAGAAGGCCUUCGGGUUGUAAAGGACUUUUGUCAGGGAGGAAAUCCUAGUGGCUAAUAACUGCUGGGGAUGACAGUACCUGAAGAAUAAGCACCGGCUAACUACGUGCCAGCCGCCGCAGUAACAC